GCGUGGCGUAGUGGUUAGUGGCCCUUCUACUGAGCCGAAGGUCCCGGGUUCGAUUCCCGGCUGGGGCA
rnacentral:tRNA from 1 species